GAAAUGCGAUAAGUAGUGUGAAUUGCAGAAUUCAGUGAAUCAUCGAAUCUUUGAACGCACAUUGCGCCCCUUCGUAUUCCAUGGGGCAUGCCUGUUCGAGCGUCAUUUGUACCCUCAAGCUCUGCUUGGUGUUGGGUGUUUGUCCCCGUCUCCGCGCGUGGACUCGCCCCAAAGUGAUUGGCAGCCGGCGUACUGGUCCCGGAGCGCAGCACAUGUCGCGCAAACGAGUGCCUUGGUACGGCGGCGUCCAUAAGCCCCUCUCUCACGCUCUUGACCUCGGAUCAGGUAGGGAUACCCGCUGAACUUAAGC
rnacentral:misc_RNA from 1 species